rnacentral:rRNA from 1 species
UGGGGAAUUUUGGACAAUGGGGGAAACCCUGAUCCAGCCAUCCCGCGUGUGCGAUGAAGGCCUUCGGGUUGUAAAGCACUUUUGGCAGGAAAGAAACGUCAUGGGUUAAUACCCCGUGAAACUGACGGUACCUGCAGAAUAAGCACCGGCUAACUACGUGCCAGCAGCCGCGGUAAUACGUAGGGUGCAAGCGUUAAUCGGAAUUACUGGGCGUAAAGCGUGCGCAGGCGGUUCGGAAAGAAAGAUGAGAAAUCCCAGAGCUCAACUUUGGAACUGCAUUUUUAACUACCGGGCUAGAGUGUGUCAGAGGGAGGUGGAAUUCCGCGUGUAGCAGUGAAAUGCGUAGAUAUGCGGAGGAACACCGAUGGCGAAGGCAGCCUCCUGGGAUAACACUGACGCUCAUGCACGAAAGCGUGGGGAGCAAACAGG